GUUUGUUUGGGCAGCGUCGCCCAAGUUUUAGUGUCACAGAGCGAGUAGACAUCGCUAUAAGGUUGUAGUGUAGAUAAUUCAAGACACCUGGUUGACGUUUUUAAUAACCCAAAUCACAUUAUAAAUGAUGUCUAAUCACAACGUAACCAACAACAUGUAUACUUCAAACAUUACAUACCAUGUUAACGGUGAUGGUGUCGGGGUACAGAUUGGAAACGGUAAUAGUUUCCAACAGACCAAUCAACUUCAAGAAGAGGUAGUUGACCUGCGGGAAGAGGUAGGUGAAUUAAAAGACCAAGUCCGGCAACUGAAGGAAAGAAUGGCCGCGUUAGAAAAUAAUAAUGAUGAUACAAACACUGAGGAACCAGAAUAUCAGAUGGAUGACGAGGAGAAGGAUAUGAUUACUCUUAAGAUCUGUAGUCAUGGUGGUAGAGGUAAGAUGACUAUAAGUGUUAGUAAAGAUAAACCUGUAAGUCAACUAGUAUCUAUAAUAAAGGAGGAGUAUAGAAGGAAGUGUGGUAGAGAUGUUGGUGUUCCUUGUCUUACUAGUAUCUACAGUUUAAAACAGAUGAAGAUGAUCUACCACCGUUACAACAACAACAGCGAUCUACCAUUAUCACAUCAUGAUGUAGGUGAUGGUGAUACAGUCUACUGGCGGUAGUUUGUUUGAUUAUAAAACAGGAAGAGUUUAUAUACAUAUAUGUCUUGUUUUAUGUACUGAUAUUUAUACAAUCCCAUGUAUACGUAAUCACAAUGUCAUAUUAUAAUGGAUAUUUUAUAUUUUGUAUUCAGUUUAUUGUGAACUCUCUGGAGAGUGCCGGGGGAACUGCACAAAAAAACACAGAUAAAACAGCAAGAACAAUUAGAUACAUAUGCCAGUACAUGUGGUCUUACGUCGGGUGGGGUAGGGUGUGGGUUGUCAAAGAAAGAAUUAGAAACAUAUUCUCAUAUAUGUUGUCGAAAUAAUUAGAUACAUAAUCCAAUACAUGUGGUCCUAGCUGUGUGGGGUGCAAAACACAGCUUAGACAUGGGCCUGAGGGGGUGGGGGCAGGACAAGGGCCCCGCGGUUCAUGGCAAAAAGAGAACAAAUUCAAAUUCCAGAUGAAAGUUUCACGUUAAUCGCCGUUAUAUGUCAUUUCCGCUCAUUGUAUGCCGUUUGGAACUGAAUAGAUUUCGUAUGUAAUUAUUCUUGUAUUACAAACCGUUUAAUUGUGUGCUACGCAUGCGUGCCAUUCAAAAGGAUGUAAAAUAAUCUACACGUUGCGUUAGGGGCCCCUUGAUUCUAGUCAGACCCAAGGCCCCGCCCCGGUUAAGCUGGGCUUUGGUGGGGUGUCAGAGAAAAUAAAUUAGAUAUAUGUGGUAGCCUAAUGGACGGGUGAUUGUGACCCCUGAUCUUAUGUCAGAGAUUGUACAAGAAUAAUUCGAUACAUAUAUUCAUAUACAUCUGGUCCUAGGUGACAGGCGUUAGUACGACUAACUUACGAGUUUUAUUAUAUAUCAUUUUAAAAAUUGAUCUAAUGACUAUUCCGUGGCUUAUUUAGCAGGUGCACUGUGCGGAUGUGUGGGUAUGGGGCGAUAUGGUGUGGUCGGAUUAUUGUAAUGCAACACGCCUGAUAUCUAAUUCGUGAUCUCGUAUACGAGGUUGUUAAAAACGAAAGGAGAUGAAUAUAAAAAAAAAAUCUUUAGACAAUGAGUGCGAAUUAUCAACAUUCUGAAUUUCACGAUAUAUAGAAGUGUUGAAUAUAAAUGUUUCAGUGUA